rnacentral:misc_RNA from 1 species
CGGAAAAUAUGUACCCUCCACUACCGGGCAGAGCUUUGAAAACAAUCUCCCCGCAAGCACCGUAUCGCCAAUGCCAGCUGACGUUAAAUCGCGUACUUUGCACUCGAUAACGAUGAAAUCCCCGAGGAUAAUCUCUGUCUCGAAAUAGACAGUAGCUGAAAGCAGUAGCAGCAGGUGUUUGCAAAAUCUGGGUCCCUCCUUUGGUAUAAGAACAUUAUGAUCCCGAUGUGACAGGAUAUAGCCGAUUACAUUUCCCCGCAGGAGAUAAGUUUAAUGUAGGUUAAUAUUUAUCCUCAUUAGUCAAGGGUAUAAAAAUCCACCCUUUGAACAUCCGAACGAAGAAUGCCUCGCGGGUCGAGGUGGUUGAAACGAACAAUUGAAAAAUUUUUCAUUUUCAAAUGUCGGAAGAGCGCACCCCCGGUGUAAGA